rnacentral:rRNA from 1 species
GACGAACGCUGGCGGCGUGCCUAAUACAUGCAAGUAGAACGCUGAAGGAGGAGCUUGCUCUUCUGGAUGAGUUGCGAACGGGUGAGUAACGCGUAGGUAACCUGCCUGGUAGCGGGGGAUAACUAUUGGAAACGAUAGCUAAUACCGCAUAAGAGUAGAUGUUGCAUGACAUUUACUUAAAAGGUGCAAUUGCAUCACUACCAGAUGGACCUGCGUUGUAUUAGCUAGUUGGUGGGGUAACGGCUUACCAAGGCGACGAUACAUAGCCGACCUGAGAGGGUGAUCGGCCACACUGGGACUGAGACACGGCCCAGACCCCUACGGGAGGCAGCAGUAGGGAAUCUUCGGCAAUGGACGGAAGUCUGACCGAGCAACGCCGCGUGAGUGAAGAAGGGUGUCGGAUCGUAAAGCUCUGUUGUAAGAGAAGAACGAGUGUGAGAGUGGAAAGUUCACACUGUGACGGUAUCUUACCAGAAAGGGACGGCUAACUACGUG